GGGUUGAUGGCCGAGCGGUUUAAGGCACUUGUCUUGAAAACAAGCGUAGGGCAACCUACCCAGGGUUCGAAUCCCUGUUAACCCG
rnacentral:tRNA from 1 species